rnacentral:rRNA from 1 species
UAGGGAAUCUUCCGCAAUGGACGCAAGUCUGACGGAGCAACGCCGCGUGAGUGAAGAAGGAUUUCGGUUCGUAAAACUCUGUUGUUAGUGAAGAACAGCGCAUAGAGUAACUGUUAUGCGUGUGACGGUAUCUAACCAGAAAGCCACGGCUAACUACGUGCCAGCAGCCGCGGUAAUACGUAGGUGGCAAGCGUUGUCCGGAUUUAUUGGGCGUAAAGCGAGCGCAGGCGGUCAAUUAAGUCUGAUGUGAAAGCCCCCGGCUCAACCGGGGAUGGUCAUUGGAAACUGGUUGACUUGAGUGCAGAAGAGGAGAGUGGAAUUCCAUGUGUAGCGGUGAAAUGCGUAGAUAUAUGGAGGGACACCAGUGGCGAAGGCGACUCUCUGGUCUGUAACUGACGCUGAGGCUCGAAAGCGUGGGUAGCAAACAGG